rnacentral:rRNA from 5 species
UGCAGAAUCCCGUGAACCAUCGAGUUUUUGAACGCAAGUUGCGCCUGAGGCCAGCUGGCCAAGGGCACGUCCGCCUGGGCGUCAAGC